rnacentral:lncRNA from 1 species
ACACACAAUAGACAAACUAUUGUAUAGAACGCACAUGAUCCGUAUUUUAAUUGGACAAACUCUGUCAAGCGUUGAGAGCCAAAACAUGUAAUUAUAAAGUUCCAGCAAGAGUCCACGCUCUAGCAGCAUACCAACAUUAAGAAGCCUUCAGAUGAUAAUCAGGAUGACCUCUCCAACAAUGAACCAGUCUUUGAAAUCUUAAACUGUUUACCACAAGCAUAUAUAAAAGAAGAUAAUGACCAAGUUUGACACAAGUCAUCCUUUACAAUGUGGAGAUAGGGCACCGGAUCAUGGAGAUGUUCAGUUACAACAUAACACAUGUACUACAAAGCAAAAGUAUGCAAGGCAAGCACCAGGUUGUGGAAAUCCUUAUGCAAGGGAAAUAACUCUGCUUAAAAUGGAGCAGAGAAGCAACAGCACAGACAGACCAGAGUUUCAGCCCAGGAUGGGCCAGUACACCAGUACUGCCAAGCCUUGACAGAGAGUUGUCUCCCUUGAAGACAAGCUAACAGAGUCAUCCAUCAAGACAUGACUACAGGACCAGACAAUCCAGUGAUCAACAGCAUGAGCAUCGAUAUGUGCAGUUGGGAACCGAGGACAUGUGUCAACCAAGUCAGCGAGCCUAGCCACCCGAUCCCGU